GACGAACGCUGGCGGCGUGCUUAACACAUGCAAGUCGAACGGAAAGGCCCUGCUUGCAGGGUACUCGAGUGGCGAACGGGUGAGUAACACGUGGGUGAUCUGCCCUGCACUUCGGGAUAAGCCUGGGAAACUGGGUCUAAUACCGGAUAGGAGCCAUCUUUAGUGUGAUGGUUGGAAAGUUUUUUCGGUGUAGGAUGAGCUCGCGGCCUAUCAGCUUGUUGGUGGGGUAAUGGCCUACCAAGGCGGCGACGGGUAGCCGGCCUGAGAGGGUGGACGGCCAAAUUGGGACUGAGAUACGGCCCAGACUCCUACGGGAGGCAGCAGUGGGGAAUAUUGCACAAUGGGCGCAAGCCUGAUGCAGCGACGCCGCGUGGGGGAUGACGGCCUUCGGGUUGUAAACUCCUUUCGCUAGGGACGAAGCUUUUUGUGACGGUACCUAGAUAAGAAGCACCGGCUAACUACGUG
rnacentral:rRNA from 1 species